UGUUCUGUAGUUAAGUUGGUUAAAGCGCCGGUCUAGCGUACACGGAGUCGUGAGUUCGAGUCUCACUAGAACGC
rnacentral:tRNA from 1 species